AUGAACCACCACCUACUACUGCAACAAAGGCUAGGAGAGUUGGCCAAGUUAAUCACUGCAGCAAUUGUAAGCAAACAGGCCAUUCACGAGUAACAUGCAAGAAUGCAACUAUGGAGCCUGCAAGGCAAAAAAAGAGAGGAAGACCACCAUCUCAGAAUCCUACUACUGAAACUAUUAAAAGGAAGGAGCGAGCUAAGAGACAGAAGCAAAGGAAUGGUGGUUCCACAUCUCAGACCAACUAAGAAGCUGCUCUUUAAUCUUAAACCCUUUUGAUGUAGAAAACUUGUUUUCUUUUUGGUGUAGUCGCCAUACAAUAUAGGCAUUACCAUACUUUUGACAUGUACAUAUUCAGUCUGACUUUAUCAAUAUUUUGGGACAUCUUGGCCAUUAGGAAUACUUUUGACAUGUAGACAUUAUGCUACUUAAUAUGUCAUAUGUUUGCUCUGUAAAGUUGAAAAUAUUAAUCAAUGACAAAAUAUCUGGUUUGGUGCA